GUCUUGAUAGUUUAAUUAAAAUUCUAAAUUGUGGUUUUAGCGAUACAUCAAUUGUUCAGGACC
rnacentral:tRNA from 1 species